GGAAGUAAAAGUCGUAACAAAGUUUCCGUAGGUGAACCUGCGGAAGGAUCAUUAUCGUAAAACCGAGGUGCGAGGGCUGUCGCUGACCUUUUCGGUCGUGCACGCCCGAGCGCUCUCACACAAUCCAUCCCACCCCUUGUGCACCACCGCGUGGGUCCCUUUCUGGCUCGACCGGAGGGGGGCUCGCGUUUUCACACAAACUUGAAGUAGUGUAGAAUGUCCUUUUUUUGCGAUAACACGCAAUCAAUACAACUUUCAACAACGGAUCUCUUGGCUCUC
rnacentral:misc_RNA from 1 species